AACGAACGCUGGCGGCAGGCCUAACACAUGCAAGUCGAACGCCCUAGCAAUAGGGGGUGGCAGACGGGUGAGUAACACGUGGGAACCUUCCCUAUAGUAUGGAAUAGCCCAGGGAAACUUGGGGUAAUACCGUAUACGCCCGAGAGGGAAAGAUUUAUCGCUAUAGGAUGGGCCCGCGUAGGAUUAGCUAGUUGGUGAGGUAAUGGCUCACCAAGGCGACGAUCCUUAGCUGGUCUGAGAGGACGACCAGCCACACUGGGACUGAGACACGGCCCAG
rnacentral:rRNA from 1 species